UCCAUUUAAGAUUCUUGAAAGAAUCGGGAUCCUAGCGUAUCGUCUUGCAUUACCACCAAGGUUGGCGCAAGUGCAUAAUGUCUUUCACGUGUCGAUGUUAAGUAUGAGCCUAACCCGACCCACGUACUCAAUUUCGAAGAACUAAAUAUGGACGACAAAGUAUUGUACGUGGAAAGCCCGGUUCAGAUUGUGAAUCAUAAGG
rnacentral:lncRNA from 1 species